GUCUUCUCGCUGAUAGAGCGAGCUUGUGACCGGUUUCUCAGGGUUGGGUCCGCACCCGGCGGAAUAUUUUCUUCCGCUGCGGGCCUCCCUCAGGGAAGUCCGGUUCGGUUUUGUUGACUUCGGUCUGUUCUGCUCUGCUGUUUGAUCCUCCGUAAGGUUUCUCAUAAGCUCGUUGCUGUUGCCCCGACCGUACCCAUCUUUUUCGGGAUCCGCACUGGGCCUUUCUAAUCGACCCCCCGCGCCCCGGGGGAGUUCCCGCUGGCUCCACGAACCCUGCUACUGAAGUUAUCCCGGGUGGUGCUGCGUGGGUUGAGGCCGGGCCUGGCUCCCGACUGUCAGUCUGCCCCGUGGCGGUGCGGCUUCUGUGUCCCCCCCGCUGCCCCCUCUUGGGGAUUUCGUCCCCUUAUCCCAGAGCUGAGCCCUGGCUCUGCCAUGCCGGGUCCGGCUACCGGGAGCAGGGCCCGCGUGUAUGCCGAAGUAAACAGCCUGAAACCCCGCGAGUACUGGGAUUACGAGUCACACGUUCCUGAAUGGGGUAACCAGGAUGAUUACCAGUUGGUGCGAAAACUUGGCCGUGGGAAGUACAGUGAAGUAUUCGAGGCUAUUAACAUUACAAACAAUGAAAAAACAGUAGUCAAAAUACUGAAACCUGUUAAAAAGAAGAAAAUAAAGCGGGAAAUCAAAAUAUUAGAGAACCUCCGUGGAGGCCCAAACAUCAUCAAGCUGCUAGAUGUGGUAAAGGACCCUGUGUCAAGGACUCCAGCUCUUGUUUUCGAGCACAUAGAUAAUACUGAUUUCAAGCAACUGUAUCAGAUUUUGACGGAUUAUGACAUACGGUUCUACAUGUAUGAAAUAUUAAAGGCCUUGGAUUACUGCCACAGUAUGGGCAUCAUGCAUAGGGACGUGAAACCACAUAAUGUGAUGAUAGACCAUGCUCAGAGGAAGCUUCGGUUGAUUGACUGGGGACUGGCUGAGUUUUACCAUCCUGAACAGGAGUACAAUGUUAGAGUGGCCUCCAGGUACUUCAAAGGUCCUGAGCUGCUAGUUGACUACCAGAUGUAUGAUUAUAGCUUGGACAUGUGGAGUUUGGGCUGUAUGUUGGCCAGCAUGAUAUUCCGUAAGGAGCCUUUCUUCCAUGGACAUGAUAAUUAUGAUCAGCUUGUUCGUAUUGCCAAGGUUUUAGGAACUGAUGAACUGUUUGACUACCUCAAGAAAUAUCACAUUGAACUGGAUCCUCGAUUUAAUGAUACUUUGGGCCAACAUUCUCGAAAGCGCUGGGAGCAGUUCAUUCAUAGUGAGAAUCGGCAUCUGGUCAGCCCGGAGGCCUUAGAUUUGUUGGACAAACUUCUUCGCUAUGAUCAUCAGCAGAGGCUUACAGCUAAGGAAGCAAUGGAACAUCCAUACUUCUAUCCAAUAAUCAAGGAGCAUUCGGAUGGUGCUCGGAGUAACAGCUCACAUGUGCCCGGUGUUUCUGCAGCUGUACGGUGAAUCCUGCUGCUGUCAGCACAAGUCAUACUGCAAGACGAUGAGUUACAGGUUUUACAGGGGAGACAUUGGGCAAAAAGAGAGCUAUCACAGUCAGCGAAUGUGAACUUGUGACUGCAGCUACACAGACGGUGUUUCCCUGGAAGCUUCAAAAAUGCCACACUCACCAAAGUGCACGUUUUUACAACCAAUUGCUGGAAAUGUUUGGGAUCCAAGAGAGAAUACAGAGAGCUGUGCAGGCACAUCAUUCACAAAACAAAAACUGAAUAGUUUAGAUUUCUUUGUUCCAAAAAAUUUUGUUGAGACAAUCUAUUAAAUGCCAUUAAAAAAGACUGUACACAGUGGGCCUGGGCUAUAGCAGGUGGCACAGUCACAGUGUAGCAAAGGAGCUGAAGACAUACCAAUGAGUAGAAGGAAGACAAGGGGUAGCCACAAAAAAAUUACACUUUGUAUAUAUGGUGUGGGCUAUGGCCUGGGGAUGGAAAUAUUACGACUUUGUUUUUUUGUAAAAUAAUCUACGGGUGCUAGAAAAUAUGCUUGACAGAGUGCAGGGAAAAGUACAUGAAGUACAAAUGGCUGGAGCGCUUGCCAAAAGAAACAGCAUGAGAAUGUUUGCAAAAUGUACGGUUGUUAAUUGCAGUGGCAUGGUAAAUUGUUCCAUUACAACUUUCAUCUACGGCAAACCAUUGUGUACCUAAUGCUCUCGGUCCAAUCAAUUAAGUACUGCAGUGUACAGAUUGAGACAUCCUGAUCCAGACAAAAUUCAGCUCUUUUCAAAGGGUUAAGGGAAGGUUUCUGUUGGCUAAUAUUUAAAAGAAAACCUUUGCAUGUUGAUUUUAAUUUUUAAAUUUGCAUGGGAUAUGACUUUUUCAAAUUUUGCACCUGACAAGUUAGUUACAAUCUGAAUUGAAACAAAUUUGCUGCUUUAGUAACAGGCUGCGUUAAAGCACUUGCAAGUAAUGGAACUUUAUCCUUAGCAGAUCCCAUGCAAUCACUGUAAGUGGCCCACUUCAUUAAGGUUUGUUUAUCCGAAUUGGCCUAGCAAAUGAAAUUAUAUUUUCUGAAUCCAUUUGCUAUGAUCUAGUGCGUGGUGUAGUGCAAAACUGUGAUUCAUUUUAACUGUGUUAUCAGUCAGUUGAGUUGUUUGUGGGGUUGGUGCGAUGAUGUGAUGUACCCAAUUAAUGACAGCUGCCAUUCUAAGACCCAAGUUCACAAAACAAGUAAAACGUGGAGUUAUUGGCAUUGUAUGCAAGUGUGUCUGGAUUAUAACAAGUACUGUAAUUUUUGUUAAUUCAGAAUAAAAAUA